GAGGACCCAAGGCACAGCGAACCUAGGCACUGCGGCAGAGGGCAGGAGCAGCGUGGCGCGGGUUUAGGGUACCUGAGGUACGGUGGCGGACCACGAUCGUGAGGUGGCACUGGCUUAGGGGACCCGCGGCACAGUGGCGGACCGCGGCACGGCGGGGGACCGCGGCACGGCAGCAGGCCAUGGGCAUGAGGCAGAGCUGGCUUAGGAGACCCGCGGCAUGGCGGCGGACCACGGGAGUGAGGCGGGGCUGACUUAGGGGAUCCGAGACUUUGAGCACACCCCAGAGACUAACCAGUUCCGGAAGUGUUCUGAUCGGGAGGCCGUACACCUCUGCAUCAGUGAUGGUCACUCAGAUACACACAGCAGAAGCCACUGGCUGGAUCCAAAGGUUCUUCGAAGGAAUAGGGAUGAAAGCAUCUGGCACAGUGCCUGGCUCAGCUGUAGCUGAGUGCAGCGUGUUUUGCAGUCACCCUGACUGACUGCUCCUCAACGGGUCUGAGAAGGAGGAAGAGAAAUGUCAGAAAUGACCUGGGAAAUGGCCUGCCGCUCUUCUUACCCCGUUUGUGCAAAAGUUGGGCAUGUCCAAGUUGAUGUGUGGAAGCUGGCCUUUUGGUCCAAUAAAACUGAGAAGCUAGAAAUGAACAGGACCUAAGCUACACACCCUCUGGGGUUGUCAGAGUGGGAAACUGGCCACUUGCAGGCUUACACUAAGCAUUACUCUCUGAGGUGUUGAGAAGGAACAAGACAUGGAUGUUGGGCAGCCCUGGGUUGGAAUCCUGAUUCCGUCUGGCUCUGGGAUCUGCUUAAAGUCACUACAAAUGUGGAUAAUGACACCUACUUCCCAGGGCUGUUGGGAAGGACUGGAUGAAACAGUCUGUGCAAAGACCACUGUCAAGUGCCUGGUACUCCACAAAUGUGGUUUGUUUCCUGUGGAUGUGCUCAUGACUGGCGUGGUCAGACUCAGUGCUCAGAGCUGGAGGGACUGAGGGGAGCAAGGCAAGCCUCUGCCCUCCAGGGGCCAGAGUCCAGGGAAAGAAAGAAGCCUGGCAACUGACAACUGGAAGCCAUGAUGGUAGGCCUUACACUAAAGCGCCCUUUACCUAAACCACCUCGUUGUGUCAUAAAGAGCUUCUGGACCAUGGGUUACCAGAUGACACCAGAAGGCGCUGCAGCUGAAAGCCAUAUUCUGCUUGUCCGCAGUGCAAAGAAGCCAUGAGCCCGAGGCCUGCAGACCGGAAGGAAGGCACCUAAGGCCAAGGGCAAACCUGGUCCCCGCAGGUUCUGUUUGACUCACAGGUUUUGGAACCAUGUUUUUGAAAAACUGAUGUUGAAAAACAGUAAGAUUUAACAUAAAAAUCAAUAUACCUUUUCUUCAAAAAAAUAGGAAGACAAUGAGGUGGUUGCCUACCUGGUAAGAGAACUGGGGCCUCGUGGGCAUGCCCUGUCACAGCCCCCCACCCCCCUUACAGCCCAUGUCACACUGGCACCGCUCCCAGGCACUUCUCGCCCUGCGGCUGCGUGCAGCAACGUGACUGGCCUUGCCUGUCAGCCAGUUUGGUCUGUGCAGCUGAUAAAAACAUUAAAUAAAACAUGGAUGGACCCACAGACCUCAUCAGACAUCCUUACUGUAAGGACAGCCCCAAAAUCAAAAUGAAGAGUUCUAAGUGAGCUCUUGGUGGGGGUGACAGUCAUUCUCACAUUCAAAAUAGUAUGCUUUGGCAUUAAAAAGUGAAGUGAAUGACCUCUUCCCUUACAUUUCCUCAUAGAGAGUAACUUGAAAACAGAAGUCUUAGGCACUCCUGCUAAUGGAAAGCUCACAACAGACUUCAGAAAAAGAAAUAUAAGUUGCAAAGAAGAUGAGAUUUAAUUCACAUGUAACUUUCUAAAAUGCUUUCUAAAAAGCAAGUUUCAUGCAGAAAAUUUACUAUUCUCAGUAGUACUGCUGUGAUGGAAUAAAUAAGCAUGGAAAAAGCUAGCAAAAAUGUUACAGAUGCAAAAUAUUUUGGUGAAACAAUGUUAAAAAAAUAAACAAAUUUGUAAUUACAUAACUGUGCUCAUCUGACUUACAUUAGUAUUUUCCUGAGCUUGUAUUUUAGUUGUAAGAGAUUUUAACAUAUGUCUUCUGAACACACAA